rnacentral:rRNA from 1 species
CCUACGGGGGGCAGCAGUGAGGAAUAUUGGUCAAUGGGCUUACGCCUGAACCAGCCAAGUCGCGUGAGGGAAGACUGCCCUAUGGGUUGUAAACCUCUUUUGUCAGGGAGCAACGCCGGCUACGUGUAGCCGGACUGAGAGUACCUGAAGAAAAAGCAUCGGCUAACUCCGUGCCAGCAGCCGCGGUAAUACGGAGGAUGCGAGCGUUAUCCGGAUUUAUUGGGUUUAAAGGGUGCGUAGGCGGAAUAUCAAGUCAGCGGUAAAAAUUCGGGGCUCAACCCCGUCGUGCCGUUGAAACUGAUGUUCUUGAGUGGGCGAGAAGUAUGCGGAAUGCGUGGUGUAGCGGUGAAAUGCUUAGAGAUCAUACAGAACACCGAUUGCGAAGGCAGCUUACCAAGCUACUUCUGACGUUGAGGCACGAAAGCGUGGGGAGCAAACAGGAUUAGAUACCCUUGUAGUC